rnacentral:rRNA from 1 species
GGCGAACGCUGGCGGCGUGCCUAAUACAUGCAAGUCGAGCGGACCGGAUUGGGGCUUGCCUUGAUUCGGUCAGCGGCGGACGGGUGAGUAACACGUGGGCAACCUGCCCGCAAGACCGGGAUAACUCCGGGAAACCGGAGCUAAUACCGGAUAACACCGAAGACCGCAUGGUCUUCGGUUGAAAGGCGGCCUUUGGGCUGUCACUUGCGGAUGGGCCCGCGGCGCAUUAGCUAGUUGGUGAGGUAACGGCUCACCAAGGCGACGAUGCGUAGCCGGCCUGAGAGGGUGACCAGCCACACUGGGACUGAGACACGGCCCAGACUCCUACGGGAGGCAGCAGUAGGGAAUCUUCCGCAAGGGGCGAAAGCCUGACGGAGCGACGCCGCGUGAGCGAAGAAGGCCGUCGGGUCGUAAAGCUCUGUUGUGAGGGACGAAGGAGCGUCGUUCGAAGAGGGCGGCGCGGUGACGGUACCUCACGAGAAAGCCCCGGCUAACUACGUG